UACAGAGGUGGCAAGCGUUGUUCGGAAUUACUGGGCGUAAAGGGCGCGUAGGCGGCCCGUCAAGUCCCGUGUGAAAUCCCUCGGCUCAACCGGGGAACUGCGUCUGAUACUGGAUGGCUUGAGUUCGGGAGAGGGAUGCGGAAUUCCAGGUGUAGCGGUGAAAUGCGUAGAUAUCUGGAGGAACACCGGUGGCGAAGGCGGCAUCCUGGACCGACACUGACGCUGAGGAGCGAAAGCCAGGGGAGCAAACGGG
rnacentral:rRNA from 1 species